rnacentral:ncRNA from 3 species
UACGAAGGGGGCUAGCGUUGUUCGGAAUUACUGGGCGUAAAGCGCACGCAGGCGGCUUGUCUAGUCAGGAGUGAAAGCCCGGGGCUUAACCCCGGAAUAGCUCUUGAUACUGGCAGGCUUGAAUCACGGAGAGGGUAGUGGAAUUCCGAGUGUAGAGGUGAAAUUCGUAGAUAUUCGGAAGAACACCAGUGGCGAAGGCGACUACCUGGCCGUUGAUUGACGCUCAUGUGCGAAAGCGUGGGGAGCAAACAGG